rnacentral:SRP_RNA from 1 species
GCCGGGCGUGGUGGCUCACGCCUAUAAUCCCAGCACUUUGGGAGGCCGAGGCGGGUGGAUCACCUGAGGUCAGGAGUUUGAGACCAGCCUGGCCAACAUGGUGAAACCCCGUCUCUA